rnacentral:misc_RNA from 1 species
GAUGAAGAACGCAGCGAAAUGCGAUAAGUAAUGUGAAUUGCAGAAUUCAGUGAACCAUUGAAUCUUUGAACGCACAUUGCGCCCGGCAGUAAUCUGCCGGGCAUGCCUGUCCGAGCGUCAUUUCUCCCCUCGAGCGCAGCUUUCCCCCCCGGGGGAGGGCCGCGCCCGGUGUUGGGGCGCUACGGAGGAGCCCAGCGCUCCCCCGUAGGCCCCGAAAUGUAGUGGCGGUCCCGCCGCGGCGCCCCCUGCGUAGUAGUUUUACAACUCGCAUCGGGUCCCGGCGGAGGCCAGCCGUCAAACCCCCCAACUUCAAUAGUUUGACCUCGGAUCAGGUAGGGUUACCCGCUGAACUUAAGCAUAUCAAUAAGCGGAGGA